AACUCACAACGCUCCAAACAA
rnacentral:snRNA from 1 species